GGCGAGAGACCGAUAGCGAACAAGUACCGUGAGGGAAAGAUGAAAAGAACUUUGAAAAGAGAGUUAAACAGUACGUGAAAUUGUUGAAAGGGAAACGAUUAAAGUCAGUCGUACUGACGGGGAAUCAACCUUUCGAAUGUGAUAACGUGGGGUUUCAAAGAGCCUUUGUUUCUCCCGGCAUUCGCGUUCUUUUGGUGUACUUUCUCGUGUUUGUAGGUUAGCAUCGGUUUCGACCGUUAUAAAA
rnacentral:rRNA from 2 species